rnacentral:rRNA from 1 species
GACGAACGCUGGCGGCGUGCCUAAUACAUGCAAGUCGAGCGGAUUGAUGGGAGCUUGCUCCCUGAUAUCAGCGGCGGACGGGUGAGUAACACGUGGGCAACCUGCCUAUAAGACUGGGAUAACUUCGGGAAACCGGAGCUAAUACCGGAUAAUCCCUUUCCUCUCAUGAGGAAAGGCUGAAAGAUGGUUUACGCUAUCACUUAUAGAUGGGCCCGCGGCGCAUUAGCUAGUUGGUGAGGUAACGGCUCACCAAGGCAACGAUGCGUAGCCGACAGGAGAGGGUGAUCAGCGACACUGGGACUGAGACACGGCCCAGACUCCUACGGGAGGCAGCAGUAGGGAAUCUUCCGCAAUGGACGAAAGUCUGACGGAGCAACGCCGCGUGAGUGAUGAAGGUUUUCGGAUCGUAAAACUCUGUUGUUAGGGAAGAACAAGUACGAGAGUAACUGCUCGUACCUUGACGGUACCUAACCAGAAAGCCACGGCUAACUACGUGCCAGCAGCCGCCGCGG